UCUCUCUCUCUCUCUCUCUCUCCCUCCCUCUGGUUAUUACUCAAUUGCAGCCAGAUAUGGAGCUACGGUCAGAGUUAUGCGGUCUCGUGCGCCCUCUUCUCUGUCCAUCUCUGAAACCAAAUGUAUAAUCCAAGCCAACGCAGCGAGAGAGAAGAAGCUUCACGAAGCUCUCUGGUGCAGACGUGGACAUAUUUAGCACAAAGCAACACAACGCCAGAAGUAGCAGCCUCGAUCUGAUGAGUUGUUGCAGAAGACAAUGGAUUUCUCAGUAAAAAUUAAAAUGGGCGAAUUUUCAUUUUCCAUUGUUUAUGCUUAAUUUUUUAUUUUCCGAUUAAUUAAGUAGCAUUAAUCGUAUUUUAUUUUUGUAAUUUUUUGGGGUUGAGCAGAGAUCGAGUUCUUUAUCAUUGGGAGAGUGGAUUUGCGCAGCAAUUAUACCAUUUGUAGCAAUCAUAGAGGUUUUGAUUUUUGCUGUGACCGAUUGCUUCAGCGAUCGUGUGUGCGACUCUCGUCGAUGAAACCAGAUUUACUGUUAAUGAGCUAGAGGAUGAGCUGUUUAAAAAGCUGAGUAGUUCAAUUAUCGACGACGGAUCGAUUCAUAAGGUCUGCUACAUCAAAGUUGACCAUGGAGAAUGUGCCAUGGCAUGCUGAUGUUAAGGCUUUUUCAGAGGCCUUAGCUUUGAAAAGUAACGGGGAAUAUGAGGUGGCAUGUGAGCAUGUCCACUCAUGUUCAAUUCAUUCGUUCCUAUGGAAAAUUUAGGUGUCUUCCGGAAGACCUUUUGACAGUAAGGAUUACAUGGCUGCCACACCUUCAUGGGCUAUUUAUGGUGCAGAGGAAGGUGGAUUUGAUCUGUAUCAGUCUCGAUACAAGAAGGAGCGUCAUCACAAAUCAAACCAGUGACAACUAGGAAGAGUUUCAACUAGCACUAUUCAGAAUUCUGUUUGUGCCUAAUAAAUCAUGGCCAGAAGGAGCCCCUUUUUCUCGGCCCUAGCACUUGCUCGUAAAUCUAAAGAU